rnacentral:lncRNA from 1 species
AGAUAAAUCAAGUGCAAGGGAAGGUAGAGAAGCUUUGGAGUUGGCAUGGAUUGUGGUGGAGGAAGAGUGGAGAGAGUUUGUGAAGGAAAACUCAUGAGAAGGGGAUGAUGAAGAAGGAGAUUUUGGUAAUGCUUGCUCUUCUUUUUCUUGCUUUAACUGAGCUCUUUCUGAAAUUUCCUUAUCCACAUUAUUUUCCUUCUUCUUUUGGUGAUGAUGAUGUGCUUCCAUAACAGUGUCACUGAGAUUAUCUUGAAAGAUAACAAGAUUCAAUGUUGUAAUACCAGAAACUCUCACUCUAUAAUCCUUUUGUGUGUGUGUGUGUGUGUGUGAUGGAGAGAGAUAGAAAGGUGUUGUAAUAUUUUCUUUGUUGGAUAGAUACUGACAAAUCUUUAGGAAGGAUAAGAAAAGAAGGAAGAAAAAGAGAGUGUGUUUGUUUCAAACUGCAUCUUGGUAUGCCUUAAACUUUUCAUAAGACAUUAACUUCAAUGUGUAUUGUUUUGGUGAUAUUCAAGUUGGAUUUUUUCCUAGUUACUUGCAUAAUAUGGAAGAAUGCUUUGGAAGGAGAUAAGAUCAUAAUUUGUACUCGUCUGUUAAGAAGGUAGCUGUCAAGUCCAACACCUUUGGUUGUGCUGUUUUUUUUUCCUUCUUUGAAAUGAUGUCACAAAUACCCAAAGUUGGCCUCAUUAAGAAAGAUGAAACUGUUAGGGCUUAUUUCAUGCAAGAAACUUAGUUGGCUUUUUUGUUUUAAUAAGUGAGAAGGUCCAUACUUUUUGAUAGAAUUAGAAAAUGGGAAAUGAAAUUAUGAUAGUUACAUGGUUCCCUUUGCUUAGCAUAUAUAUUACGUAUUAGGUUCGACGUACCAGGUUCUAUAUAAAAGAAGUCUUUGUAAUAAUAAUAUAAAAAUUGACGAAGUGCGUAGAAUCGGGUACUACCACCCAACAUGUAAAUAUGCAAAGCAUACACCUAGAAUAUGAAGUAUAAUAAAUAAGAGAGUUAGAGGGCCAUAACCACCGUCUAUAUGUUGGGAAUGAUUCAGUUCACCCAUUAUCAUUCAUAGAUGAACAUUGAACAAGAAAGUUCAGAAGGAGCAAAAUGUCGUUUAGUGAAGGAAGGUCAUGUGAGUGUGAACCCACAUGGUGUAGUGUCAAGUGUGCAAAUAUCCAUUUAUUCAUCUUAGUGCAAGUACACAACCAUAUAUAGAUUAUAGACAUGGAAAGACAGAAGAAGAUGAAAGAAUAGUUGGGUGAUGGGAGUGGUCAUAGACCCACAUACACGUGCAUGUGGUGGUUAUCUAGCAAGCAUAAAGGAAUUAAUUUUGUAUUAUUGUUGAGAUCAAUAUCUUAAUCAUAGAGACAUUAUUUGGUUGGAUUGAUUCAUUGAACCAUCCUCACCACUUUUAAUUUCGUAGCUCUAAAUUAUAUUAUAGCUUUCUAGUGUUUUCAUUUCGAGGUAAAAGAAAACUUAGCAUAAACAAAUACUUCAACUAAUAACAUAGAGAAAUAGAGCUACUUUAUUUUUUGUGGGACAACUUGUGAUUUUAUGAAAAGUUACUAAGCUGCCUACCAUAUCUUAAAUCUAUAACUUAGAAGACUUUUGUCACUCAAUAAAAACUUUGACAAUAAGUCAAAGAGAUCAUAGGUUUGAGUCGCGAGAAAUUCCAUUCAGGAGAAUAGAAUAUUGUAUGAACAUUUAAGCAUAAUUGAUGACAUGAUUAAUAAAUUUAUAGACACAAAGAAGUCACAUAUUUAGGCUUGGGUGUAAUAGUAAUAAUGAAUUAUGAAAAUCCUAAUUUUAUUAAGAGUUGCGUUGAUACAUGGAACUUUUAUAUUUAAAAGGUGGUGUUUGAGGAAACAUGUCUCUCAUAAACACCAUAAUAGCCAUUCAAUAGAAGUAAUUUUGUAUUGAACAAUUAAUGAAGCUUGCAAAAUUGAGGAAAGACCAUCAAGGGAUAGAUAUAUCACUUAUAUAUUUCAUUUUUAUACAUAUGUAUAAGUUCACUUGUAGUAACCAGCCUCAAGUUGAUACAUAGAAAACAAGUUAGAUAUCAUAUUAUCAGCCAAAACAACUGUCCAAAACGUCACCAAAAACUCCCCAAGAUUGAACUUCAACUUCAUACUAACCUGCCAAAAAGUUGCACAGUUUAUGAGAUCACCAAAAUAAAAGACUAAUAAUUAAGUUCAAACUGAAUGUGGAGCAUAUAAGUUUAAAUGAUUAUUUUUGCAAUUGCAAAAGAACCAGACAGAAUGUGAUAGGAAAGUAAAGUGAAGCCAGACAAACUUUAGUGUGCCUAAUAUAUACUCAUUCACUAUUUUUUUUAUUUCUUUUCGUGAAUGUUCUUUCGUUGGUGUAAUAAUUUUUUAUAAGAAUCUAAAUGUACUUCAAAAACUUGUACAGGUCCCAAGCUUAAUGCCAAUGGACAAUGGUGAGUAAAAAAUUAAAAUACAUGGCAUGAUGGCACUAUUAUCUAAGACUAACAUAGCUAUAUUUGAGAAUACAUAGCACAAGUGACCCAACUUGUUAACAUAUGGUGAUUCACAUUUCAAUUCAACUUAACAAUAUUCUGAGCCCAUAGUAUAAUUGCAGACAAUAAAGAAUAGUUUAGUAUAAAAAGUAAAAGCAAAACCCAACUAAUAAUAUGGACUUGACACACACCAAAUAUGGAUCUUAAAGACAAAAUGCAUUAGUUUAUGUGAAUAUCUUUGCAACAGCAAAAGAGAACGCCAACUUUAGUGUGCCAAACCAUAACCCUCAUAAGCAACUAAGAUUACUCGUUCACUAUUUUUUGUUGCUUUUGGUGAAAGCUCAUUCACUAGUUUAAUAAAUUUCUACAAGAAAAUAAAUUGUGCUUCAAAGAGUGUUCUAAUUAGCAAAACCCAGAAUAAUACCUAGAUAAAUUUUACUGACUCUAAUCUCCAGGUGCAAUUUACUCAUGUUGUUCACCCUCCUCAGCCAGACCAUUCACCCUAACAAUAUAAACCUGAAAGAAAAUAUUAGCAAACACCUUAUGUCAUAAUAAAUAAAAGUAGAGAAUAGGGACAAUGCAAAAUUUCAUACAUUCAAAUUGUAAAUGAUAGCAGUAUUGAGAUAGCUCAAAAUAAUUUCGGUAAAAACACAGCAAAGAAACUAAUCAACUACAAUGCUGCAUUAGUAGUAAUCACAGAACAUGAACUGAAAAAAACCAACACACUUUUGAAAAAUCUAUGAAAAGGUGAAGAACUCGUUCAUCAAGCAGAUCACAAGCAUUUUUUGUUGUUGUUGUAACAUUCAUAAAUACCAUAGACAUAAUCAAAUAUGAUGAAUGUGUGAAGCACCCUGGCAUGACUGGAAUCACCUUGAAUGCAGUGCGAUUGAUCAAUUGAAAAACUAAAGCAUCCCCAUCUGCUAGGUCAUGAGAAAUUGCAAAACCUCUCCAUCCACCACUAAGUCCUCUUUUUUGAGACAAAUAAACUGUUGGAUAUUCAUUCCCAUCCUCAUCUAUCAAAUCAAUUGUCUCAUCCCGUUUCGGGAGAUUUCUCCUGCUGAAAUCGACUGGAAGACCCUGUUUUCAAGGAUUGUCGAAACACAAUGAUAUUAUAAAUUGUGGGUAUAAACAAAUCAAAAUGCAUUUUUAACUGAUCCACUUCUGCAGUAUUGAAGCAACAUUUGCAACUGAGGCAUUCGGUGCUAUCUUAUUCAAGCAACACAAAUCAGAAUCACAAAUAUGUUUAUUUGAACAAUGUUGUAAUGAUGCAGCUGCAACCCAUUAAUAAAAAGUAAGAGAAGAGUAUUACCAGCCAGAAUCCGCCACUAACAUGUGAUUGGAGCAUUGACUUAAUAAAAGUAGGAUACUGAGAAUCUAAAUCCGACUCUAUCUUCUGUGCUUUCUCCAUAGCUUCCUCUCUAUCUUCAUCCGAAGCAUAUAUCCGGUUCGAAUAAUCCCUGUGCCUGUUAUAACUUCUACACACAUGAUAUGCAAAAAAAUCAUGUCAACUAAGAUUGGCAUACAAGGAAUCACAGACACUACAACACCGAAAACCGACACAACAUUAGACAAAUUUGAACAACUAAAGGACAAUGCAGGCGAUGUGAAAAAACAUAAGAUUAACACGAAAGCGUAAUUAUUCUUUUACAAGUUAGCAUAGUCACCUUAAACAUACUAUAAUGCUCAAUUUUAUCAAAAUGUUAAGAUAUUUCCGUAUAAAUUGGGAUGAAAAAUCCAAAGAAUAAGUAUAAAACAUAGAAUAUGACUAAGAGUGUUUGAAAAUGUUGAGUGUAUCUACGUGAGGAGAGUUUGUUCCACAAAGUGUCAUUACAUGUGUUAUAAAAAAGUUAAUUUUUAAAUUUUUAACUUAAAUACAUUUUAUUCAACACGUGAGUGACACACUUUUGGGGAGAACAAAUAUGUUACGAGUAAGAAAUGUGGAAUUUAAGUUGAAGUGUAGCACCUUCUAGGUAUAGUGACGCGAUCAAGAAGCACCUGUGAGAAAGAGAAAUGAGAGUGAGAGAGAAGUUGGAAAGGAAAGUGAAAGUGAAAAAUAAAAAGAUUGAGAGAGAGUGGUUACUUGUUUGUAAAGAGGAGAAGGAAGAUUGGCGACACGACCAGAUCUCCUUACAAGAACGAGUUCUUUAUCUUUGUUUGGGGUACGAGGUUUAGAAGGAGAAGGUUUUGGAGAAGUGGACUUAUGAAGAGAUUUAGAAAGAUGAUGAAGAUUCAGUGCCUCCAUUCUCUUCUUAUUCUCUUCCAUUCUUUUCCUACGACUUUCCUCGUAUGCUGCCACCAUUUUCAGACUCAAACAAUGUUUCUUCUUCUUCUUCUUCUGUGUAGCUGAGAAGGAAUGAGAAUGAAAUUCAAAAUGAGAUUCAUAUAAGAUGGGGCCCACUCGUGUUACCGUUGGACCCCAAAUGGAAAUGGACUCGGGUGCCUAGGUUAGUGGCUAUAAAAUUGCAACACUGUAAUUUAAAAAAUGCAUAUUAGUUUCCAUACUUGUUCACUAUAUCAUUUCCAUAUUUUUUGGGUCCAAAUUCAAUGCAUCUUCAUUACUUAUAACUGCUGGUGACCAAACUCAAUAUGGAUUUAUUUGUUUUGAAAAUGAGUUAUAUUUUCAAUUUGAAUUCAGCUAGAUUGAAAUUUAUGAAUUAUUCGAUUCAAGUUAUUAAUUUGAAUAAAUUUAGUUUAUCAAAAGUUCUUAUUAGUUUGAUUAAACUAGUUUGUUAACUCGAAUGAUGAUUAUUAAAGUUAAAAUAUAUAUAUAUAUAUAUAUAUAUAUAAUCAAAUCGAAUUAUAAAUUUAAUAAGUCAAUUAUUUUUGUUUAUGAAGCGGGUUUAUUAAGCUAAAUAAUUAGUUGAAUUCCUGAUAAAUGUAUAAUUAGUUUGAUUCAUUUGACUCUACAGGUAAGAUGUAUAAUCACCAUAUAUUUUUAAUUCGCUUUCAAAUAUACUACAAUCACAAGGGAAGGUAGAGAAGCUUUGGAGUUGGCAUGGAUUGUGGUGGAGGAAGAGUGGAGAGAGUUUGUGAAGGAAAACUCAUGAGAAGGGGAUGAUGAAGAAGGAGAUUUUGGUAAUGCUUGCUCUUCUUUUUCUUGCUUUAACUGAGCUCUUUCUGAAAUUUCCUUAUCCACAUUAUUUUCCUUCUUCUUUUGGUGAUGAUGAUGUGCUUCCAUAACAGUGUCACUGAGAUUAUCUUGAAAGAUAACAAGAUUCAAUGUUGUAAUACCAGAAACUCUCACUCUAUAAUCCUUUUGUGUGUGUGUGUGUGUGUGUGAUGGAGAGAGAUAGAAAGGUGUUGUAAUAUUUUCUUUGUUGGAUAGAUACUGACAAAUCUUUAGGAAGGAUAAGAAAAGAAGGAAGAAAAAGAGAGUGUGUUUGUUUCAAACUGCAUCUUGGUAUGCCUUAAACUUUUCAUAAGACAUUAACUUCAAUGUGUAUUGUUUUGGUGAUAUUCAAGUUGGAUUUUUUCCUAGUUACUUGCAU